rnacentral:rRNA from 1 species
UACGGAGGAUGCGAGCGUUAUCCGGAUUUAUUGGGUUUAAAGGGUGCGUAGGCGGGAUGCCAAGUCAGCGGUAAAAAUGCGGUGCUCAACGCCGUCGAGCCGUUGAAACUGGCGUUCUUGAGUGGGCGAGAAGUAUGCGGAAUGCGUGGUGUAGCGGUGAAAUGCAUAGAUAUCACGCAGAACUCCGAUUGCGAAGGCAGCAUACCGGCGCCCUACUGACGCUGUGGCACGAAAGCGUGGGUAUCGAACAGG